AGGAGCAACUAGCAUAACCACACAUAAUUUGAUUAGCGGCAUAUCAGAAACGUACAAGUUACGGCAAUGCACCGCACAAUGAAACGCCGCUAACGUACCGAAUGACUCGUAAAUGUUGUACGUAAUACACUUAACGUGAUAAACCUGCAUUACUUCCUUCGGUCACAAAAAAGUAAUCAAACUUGUCUUAUCGUUCACCUGCAGUACGUCGGAAAGAGUGCAGACUUCCUCUCUGACGAUUUCUGCGACCUUUGGAGGUGCAGGGAUUCCUGUCAUGUUCGUCUUCCAGCUGUUGUGAUGAUCAGGUGGAUGUGCCAUUCCGUCCUCACAUUAGCAGUUCGCCACAAUCUAAAUCUAAAGCAUUCAAAACCCUCAAACUACCCCUAACGUCUGCGUGCACAACGGUUGCAGUUCGAAGUCCGAGAGAACAGGCGUGGCCGGACAGACGCGAUGUCUCCUCUGUCGUUUUUCUUUCUCCUCCGUUCGACCGACCGUUUGGAUACGCGCGCCUCAAUCAAAUGACUCUCGCCCAAUCAGCGCGAAGGAAACUGACGCCAGUUCUUGGAGACCAAUGAGCAUCCAAAUAUUUAUACAUAUAAUGCGCAGCCAAUCAGAGAUCUUCCGAGCUCGGACGCCGGUGGCGACAAUAUUUUCGAGGCGGUGCGUUUCGCUUUAGAGCCGGCGGCUGGCGAGGGCUCGAGUAGGGAGGGGGCGAAAGCUCGGCAGCUGGCGCGUGAAGCUCCUCGAGCGUGGCGAGGGACGGCCAAGCCGAAGAUAAGUCAAGGCUGCUUAUUCGCAGGUGGAGGCAAUUGAACGACGCAUGUGUAACAGGCAACCCAGCCGAAAAUCAAGGUGGGAUUGUUCUGCAGGCGGCUUGGAUCCAUCAAUGCACAAGAAGUCGUCGACGAUUUUGUCAACCCGUAUGAAUCGAAUCCAGCAAUCGUGCCCGCACCCAACCGCACCAACCCGUGUGUUGUUGAACUGAAAUCUAGUGUAAGCACAAGCUAAUCUAAGUAAAUGUAAGCACAUCGAAGUGAUUUUAUACUAGUCAUCCACAUCAUCCUGCAUGUCCCUAAAACUAAGGAAAACGUUACCUCUUUCCCUACGUUAAAUGGGUUGAGCAGCAAAAAUUUAUUUGACAAGGAAUGCCAACUUUUUAUAAUGACAGCCACCUUACUACAACGAAGUGCGGAGGUGUGGUUGUAGCUUUGAUACGUAUUUGCCUCACGCUUCCCUCGUGCUCAAUUUCCAGGUGCAGUCAAGAAGAACAGGAGACUAGGUAAGAUCAGCGCUUUCGAGGUUGAAUGCGUCAUACAGUCGUACCUGCGAUAUGCUAAAUAAUUAGCCAAACAAGAAUAUCGGCGCUUUCUUUUCAUAUUAAUUGCACUAGUCGUGUGUGGUUGUCGUCCAUGAUCAAUAUAUAUAUUGUUGUACCCAAAUAAAAUGUAAAUCACCA